rnacentral:rRNA from 1 species
UACGGAGGGUGCGAGCGUUGUCCGGAAUCACUGGGCGUAAAGGGCGCGUAGGCGGCCCGGUAAGUAGGAGGUGAAAUCUUGCGGCUUAACCGCAAGGCUGCCUUCUAGACUGCCAGGCUCGAGCACAGUAGAGGCAGGUGGAAUUCCCGGUGUAGCGGUGGAAUGCGUAGAGAUCGGGAAGAACAUCAGUGGCGAAGGCGGCCUGCUGGACUGUAGCUGACGCUGAGGCGCGACAGCGUGGGGAGCAGACAGG